UGCCCGAUAUUCAAUGUUACUUUGUUCAAAGAUUUUCCUCUCUUUGUAUUUUGGGAUUUUUUGAGUUUUUUUUCGUAUUCAGAAAUCAAUUUGGCGCUCGAAACUCAAUCGCCCUUCCCCUACCCCAAAAUUACACGACCAUACAAACUAAUUUACAUUACAAUAAUAUGUUAUUCGCUUCUUCCGCUCGGCAAAUAAGCCCCUGUAUUUCUUCUCUACGUAUAAACCGCAGCAACAACGAUGGAAAAUGUAUGAAUAGAAGACGACGUUUGUGCUACAUUAACAGGGCGUUAUACUAACCGGAUAAAGCGGUACGCCACCGCAUCACCGACUUUAUCUUUUUCUUCAGUUUAUAAUUUCCAACUGCACAUAAUAUGUUUUAUCAACUUGCUAGUGAAGAGGAAUCUCAAUUCUUCAACGUAUAGGUUUCGGUUGCCACGCAGUCCUGUUGGAAUUCAAAAGGAAUAUGAGCAAGGGCAAGAUUUUUCGAAACCGGUCAAUAAUUUGCAACCACACGAGUAAAAUCCUGGACAAAAGUACGGUGGCGGUCACAAGGUAUGAACCUAUAGCCACCUACUCUUCUGAUUCGAGGUGGUGCAGCGGGAGUUUCUAAAAAUAGAUUCAAGGGCGCGGACGUCGUCCAUAGGGCACUGCUGCAAUGGGAUACUACGGAACGUGACGUCUCGUAGGGUCGAUUAAUAGUGGCCCUUUCUUCUGCUCUUGCUGCUGCUGUUGCUGUUGCAGUCACACGGGCGUUCCUGUCUGCUCCCUAACACAACUUUGCUUGUGUUUAUGGUGGUUGCUGAACACACCUUGUACAUGUAUACACACCGGUAUACCAGACGCGAGGUAUGUUGUGUAUGUUCAAUGUAUGUCCUAUUGGUGUGAAUGCGAAUCGCAAAGACCCAGGGCAGUAAACGUGUGCGCUGGGUUCUGCCAAGCCAUCCAGCCAUCCAGCCAGCCAGCCAGCCAGCCAGCCAGCCAGCCAGCAUGCAGCCCUCGGGAAAGUCUUCCUAAAUCGAUACGCAUGCGGUGCACUGCGAUUGCGAUGCGUAUCCACAUAGCGUACCGGUGACAGACGGUCGCCGACCACGUGGCCAGGGAAACGUCAACGUGGAUUCAGGUUUACUUCUUUUGAUUUUUUAUUUUCCCAUUUUUACGAUAUAUGGCACACGUAGCAUGAACAUGAUGCAUCCGUGUCAACUUUACGGGAUUCUAUGUGCUUCAGAUUUUUUGUCUUACUCAAAAAAUUGGUCAAAUUGAGAUUCGUGAUAUCGAUUCGCAUAUUCGAAAGAAUAUGGUCCAUGAUACUCUUUUUUUUCCUCUUUGUGAUGGAAACUACGAGUACAAUUGUCCCAACAAUUUCUCUUUGAAUGUUAAAACUAGGCUAAAAGUUCAUUAACUUCGCACUCAUUCAUGCUGAAGUAUUAUACUCGUGCACGUAUAGUUAACUCGAUCGUAGCUACACCGUUCUAAAUCACUCUAAUUUCGAACCGAGAAUUAUGUUGGCUCUGCAUAUAAAAGUAAUCAUUUUCAAGCAGUCGAUCGCACGAUACGAUUAAUUAUUUUAUAUAUCCACGUAUUUGAAUUAGCUCGUUUAAUGAGGAUUAUGAUAUGAUUUACUGCGCCUCGAUUUCACCUUUCCGAUGAUCUCAUUCUAUGCUUUUCUAAUUAAUUACGAUGUUAAUCCAUUUGGCGACCGAUUGAUCUCGAACGAUUAUUAUGAAAAAAAAUGAAAGAUAAUGGAGGAUCGUAAUCGUUCUUUGAAUUCGUGAGUCCUACUCAUUUGUGACUCAUGCCGUAUUACAAUUUGCGAACGUAUGUCGCAUAGCUGCGUCUAUGUAUGUGUGUGAAACUUCGAAAUUUGAUCGGUAUUUUAAUGUAAAUCGAACGAAAACUAUGUAUAUUCGUGUAUUGAUGAGUUAGUCACAUACCAAAGCGUAAUCGAGUAAGGUAAACUGUGGUCAUGAUAAGAAAAACAACGAAACAAAGCUGAUUCCCUGGAUCAUUCGAUGACUAAUACCUCGUGUAACUCAUUAAGAAUUUAAGAAAUUUUUUCGGAAAUUCGAUCCAAUCAUCGACGUCUGGAUAUACCUGCGUAAACAAAAAACAGAUUCACAGCAAUUGCAAUACAGGUAAUCGGAUUCCGUUCAGAGAAAACUGAGAAAAUAUACACGAUUCUUUUACUCCUGUAAUUGCGGUCGGUGACUUUCUUCCUGUAAUUAUUCCUUACUUCUUUUUUCGUCCGAUUUCCGAAGGUUGAACAAUAAUUUCAACUCCUGACUCUUCUGCGUACAUACGUAUGUACCUAGUGUACAUUUUAUUUUACAUAGCAUGUAAUACAUAAGAAGUGUUCGUUGAACUUACUGCCACUGAAUCUGUGAACCCACUACCCGGUAUUGAUUUCAAGCAUCGCAUGCUCUGCAGGAAGCCGACGUCGCGACUGUACCAUUUCUACAACUACCAACGUAAUUCAGAUGUACAUAGGUACGUACGUGUGCUUACUAUUUGACAAAAGUUUUAUUUGUGUGAGUGUGGUCGGAGUAGCGUAAUAAACUGUCUAUAGAAAUCGUAGACGGAGUUGAAAAAAAAUUUCUACGAAUGAAAUCACUAUCAGAGGAAGGAAUAUUUAUAUGGACACCGCGUGUUAUAAUUACACUUCGGUUAUUCAGAUUGUAAAAUAAGAUUGAACAACAAGUGUGAUACGAUUACGCAAACGAGUCGUAUAUGGUGAAUCUGCAGAUCGGAUCGUUCGUUGUUUAUCAAUCCGAAUUGCAUAAAUAAUUGAUAUUUUUACACACUACCGAAGUGUGUAAAAAUGAUUGUUUGAUGGAUUGAAAGUAGUAGGCGUUUCUCGUGAACGAUGGAAUUUGAUUUUGUCAUUGAACUUAUAAUACACUUUGAUAUUCAAAGUAUUAUUAUCAUAAUGCGAUACACGGCAGGUGAAAACGAGAAAUCACUUUCACUUUCGUUAUUCCAAUCAUAUAAUCGAUCCCCGAUUACUCAUAAUAACAUGCGCCAUACGAAGCUGAUGAAUUCAAUGCAUUAUUCGCGAAUAAAUUUAUAAUCGAUUAAUUAUUAUGCAAGAAGCUUAUAGGUCCGACUCCCUGUGCGAUGUGUAGUACAUGAAUAUAAGUAACUUAUACACGUACAUAUUGUACGCAUAGGUAGUACGAGGCGCUCUUGGGGGGCCUUGACAGGGCCUUAUUUGGGAGACAAGGUUGAGGUGCGGUGCAGGCCAAUGGGUUUUGAGGACAGUUAUAUCAUGUCGUUUUACCGUAUUUGGUUCUAAUUUUGUUGCACUGAUCCGACAAAUAACCGAAUACUGUGCAGAUUUUGCUGCGAUAUGAAAAUCUUACGAUUGUUCAGGGAUUCAAAAUCCUGUCUUAUGAUCCUAAUUUUUUUUCAUCCUGCUUCGCCGUCUCUCAUUAAUUUUUUUUUUUUUUUUUUUUUUUUUAUCAUUCACGAAUAUUCAUACCUAUACAUGGAACGAGUGGCCAUUGACUUCUGGUGUCAGCAGCGGCUAGUUGAAUCAUCAUUUUUCCAUGAGCCUUAGUCGCAAAGUAAUUUUUAUAUUAUAACGACGCACGCCGUCACGCAACGAAUCUUUUGCAAGAUGAUCACAUGCGAAUAGGUAGGUUCGCGUUGGACGUGCAGCAGUAACGAUAUUAGAAAAAUCGUUAAAAGGAAUUGUUGAAAAAUUAGUGAAAUCUAAUCGAAACUGAAAUAGAAAGAAAAAAAUAAAAAAUAUUUUCACGCCGUUAGAGACUUUGAAUCGAACAAAUUGAAUUUUUUGUCUUCAAAGAUUUGCAAAAUGCAACGAACAGCAAAAAUUUGUCAUUUUUGUAUCGUGUUUCCAGCCUCUCACACGUCUGAACGAAAAAAAAAAAAAAAAAUGUAUAUUACAAAUUAUGUGAAGAAAAAAAGAACAGUAAGGGGACAAAAUUUUUUUAUUCUUCAUUUGGAAAUAUCGGAGGCAUACCAAAUUACAACCGUAACGAAUUUUCUAGAAAUGAAAUUCCACGAUCCGUGCGAUUAUACCGAUACACGUUAAACAUAUUGUGAUUACCUUUAUAUAACGAGAAUAAUAAAAUGAAAUUCUUCUCGUUGAUAAUAUACGAGUAUAAUCGCUAUAUUUAGUCGCCCGUUAUUAUAAUGUUGCUCGGUAAUGACGUCAACAUAUCUGUCGCUACGACAAUUCCAGUCAGAAAUCAUCGAUGAUUCAAGACACCUCGGCGUUGGCAACACGACGACGACUUCUCAGAGUCUGGCGUUUCAAGUUUUUAAUUUUCUCUAAUCGGUCCGCGUAUAGAGUUAUUGGAAUUCUUCAAACGUUAUUGAAACGCUGUCGUCAUUCGUAAUAAAACUUUGAACAUCAGCAGCGCCCACCGGCUCAUGAUGUUGCUUUUCCUCCGAUGCAGGCAAAAGACAGCUGAGCCCCUAUAGAUACCCGGAAGUGGUUCGUCCGUUCGCGGCCUCUCCUUUUCUUCGUCACACAAGUAUUAUUUUUUUCCUCACACAUAUUCCGUUCCUCUAUUUUCUCUCAAUCGACAAAAAAUGACACGAAUAAAAAUGUCGUAAACAAACAAAAAAAAAACAAAAAAAAAACAAAAAGAGAAAAGAAAUACCAACGAGAAAACGAAGAAGAAAAAAGAUUAACUUCUUCAUACUCGAUCUGUACGAAACCGGAAGUUGUGCCGGACGAUCCAUGAGGAAUACGAAACGGAUUCAAGAAGCCUGUACAGCAUAAAAACGGGAAAUUCUAUAUAAUUUUAUCCACAUGUACAUAAAUAUCAAAUAUAUAUUUAUGCACGUAAUAUUGGUAUAGAAUUUUGAGAUCAGCAGUGCAGAAUCGAAAGAGACUCAUAUAUGCAUACGUACAUACAUAUGAAAUAAAAAGUGCGUCGCGAUACGCGACGACUGAAAUUUUUCUUAUUUUUUCUUUCGACUCGUUCGCACGAUUGCGCACUUAUAUUCUGUACAUGAAAAUGAUAAUUCGAACGCUGACUUAUGUUCAUACUUCCCAAACACCUGUGAGAGGGUAUUUCUCAAUAAUGUGAUCCGUUUGUACCGACGCGGGUAUAUUACGUUAUAUUUGAUAGCGAAAAAAUAUUUCCAAACAAGAUUUUUAUCGGAGAUUCUAAUCUCCGUAUGUUGCACGAUUGAAAUAUCAUUCGUGCGUACGUACUUGCAUCAGCUGUAGGUACGGAAUACUUGUUUCCUUCUCUUAUCGUUAUAUCCAGUAUAGAUAUUUAUUUGUGAUACUAUACAGUUGAUUCGAGUUUUACGUUGUACGUAUACGUACUCACACACGUAUAAUUUACGAUUAUUUGUGCAGCUAAUUGCGAGUAGAAAUCAUUCGAAAUUCUCACGUUAUAAUUUACCGUCCAAAUACACGGGCGUGGAUAUUCAAAAUUCCUUUUUUUUCUUCAUGCGAUUCUAUUCGAAUUUUAUUCAGUCACGUAUUUCAAAUCGUUAAAAAAUAUUUGUAUAUAUUUUCAUGUUUUUUACAGACAGACUAAACAAACGUGAUCAAUGAUAUUAUAAAUUUUAUUACAGUUAUAAUUAUACAUCCGUUAGCAUACGAUUAAAUAAUAUCGUCAAGUUCCGUUGACCUUAGACGAGUAGAAAAAAAUUCAAUAUUUUUGUAACGUACGUAUUCUGAUCGCGAAUUCCUAAAACUGUUCCCACUGAUUCUGAUCGUUCUGCUGCUGCUGUUGCUGCUGCUGCUGCACCGACGAUGCGUGUUAAUUAAGUCCUGCUCCUGGUGCACCAGGGACAUCGGGGGAAAAAGAGAAGGAUCGAUGGGGCGAGACAUAGAAGAGCUUCUGCACCACGCCCAACCAUGGGGGUGGCUCACCAUGACUCACUCCAUAUACUACAGAGUCCACCAACCCUUCGAAUUCGGUGAAACUACGUACGGGGUGCAGAUUUGGCGUGGAAUGUAAAUACACAGAGAGACAUCGGAGACACAAGCUGAGGGCCUCAAUAUUUUUCGGCGAGAGCGAGUCCAAUGAAUUUUCGAGGAAGAAAAAGAAAAAUUGGAAUAAUUGAGACUUCACCUUACGCGUCUGUUAAAUACGAGGGCGACGCCGUCUAAAACGCCUUCACUUUCGAUUGUGUGGCGCCUUUUCUUGGCUCGCUGAUUGUGAGAGUAAAUUCUGGCGAGGUAUAUGGUCUCUCAGGACACUAAAGAACUGGCCUUCCAAAUAUGGGAGCAUAACACUCACACAUAUUAUAUCAAUUUUGUCCCCCCAAAAGGAAAAAAAAAAAUCGACAGCGACGCUUCUUAAAAUGGAAGGACACUUUGCAUACCGAAUUAUAUUAUUAUCAAUUCUUACAAUCAGCAACGACUGCUGGAACAAGAUCAUAGUCUGGUGUGCAUGGAAAUAUUCCGACAAAAAUUAGAUUAGAAAAAAAAAAUUCCGAUCUUUGAAUGUCUGAAUAUAAUUGUCUAUCGCCAUCAAGAAUUAUUCAAACCGCUGAAGUACGAAAAGAGAUGGGUAAUUUGCUGGAAGAAAUUUCAGAUUUUAUGUACGUGAAUAAUACCUGUCGAAAAAAAAAAAGUUGUCAGAUUUCUAAAUCAGCAUUAGUCACGUCUUGUGGUACCUUUAAAUUUUAAACACAUUAGUAAUAUUUUCUCCGCGUAGACGAGCGACAAAAUUUCUCGGGAUCGGUGGAACCAGACUGCACCACCAUGACUAAUACUCUGAGACUUCGGUACGGGGUUCCUGGGGUCCCAUGAGUCAUAGAUAAUGCCAUGCGAGUUUUUUUCCCCCCUUUUUUUCCACACAUUUGCAAUUGCUGCCACAUAAACAGCCAGCCCUGGACAAACGACUUAUCUUCCGACAAUAAUUCUACUACUCUCGGAUACUGUGUGAGGACAUUAUCACCAGUGAAAAGGAAACGAAGAAAAAUACAAAAAAUCGGCGGAAUGCGACUCACCAUGUAUUUGCAAUGUAUUACAUAAGUGAAACAAAUACAUACUUUGAAUAUUACCAAAUAUGGAAGCGAAGCAAAGUAGGUACGGAACGAGAUUUCUAAAUUCACGUUCGCCGUUAUUAACACAUUAUCGCGUGACAUAUACACGAUCCAAAGUUUAUAUCAGUUCAAACUUCCGGUCAGCAUGCCGCAACCGCCUCUGUGCAGGUCGGUCAUUUAUCGGAGGCGGGUGUCGAUGGUGAAUCAUUCGAUCUCCGGAGUAUUCUGUUGAGUUUACUCAGAAUUGAUCUCCACCUUCGAUCAUCGUUGAGAAUGAUUCACCUGCGCUCGUACUACGACCGGGAGAUUUUUUUUAAUCUCACCGCGCAUACAUCGAACGUUACUCACUCAGAAUUAUAUGUAUUACACAUGUGAAAUGGGUAUAGUCUACACGUAUUAAAGACGUGAUUCAUACAACUUGACCGAUUAAUUUUUUAUGCAAGAUUGUUAUAUUUGACAGAUAACUUAGUUAAUUAACGUCACUAAUCAAGAUUGUCUUGUUUUUCAAAAGAGCUGUCCGUGCAAUGAAAAGAUUAACUAUGAAAAUUUUUUUCUCUUUUGCCAACAGAAAUAAAAUUUCCAAUCUAUUGAAAUUUGAAUGUUUGAACAGGAUCUAACUGAAAGUGAAUUUAUCACAUUAUAUAGCAACGAUCAAUUUUGAAUACAGCUUUGUACUUGUUUUAGAUCGACUUUAAAGAGAAGAGUUUUUACAAUAAUCAUCUACCCGGCGAUGGUUUUCUCACGAAUCGAUGGAAUCGUAAAAUAGAUAACGGAAUUUAUACCCGAUAGUUUGAACGUACAAUAUCUAGGCUUGUAAAUAAGCGUAAAUGGACUAUAGACAAGGACAUUUAGAUUAUGAUAUUAAUACAUAUGGUGCCGUACGACGUAUCGUAUCUAAACCAGAUGUGGAGCUAAAUGAAAUUAACUGCGUGAAGCCUCUUCGGAAUUGUGACAUUUCAUAUACACUUGGAUGUUUCCGUAUACGUGUUCAGGAUCAGAGGCAAAAUAAAUAUCUGACAAAAUGAUUCUACCCCAUGAUUUUACAAUAAUCGUAUUUGUAGCAAUACUCAGCGAAACCGAAGGUUGGUUUUUAAUUACUUCUAAUUUAAUUCUAAUGAAUUUCCUACUAGGUGAUUGUCAAUUAUGCCAUGGCUUUAAUAGCUCAAUUUUUGUUACGUAUAAUUAUAAAACGAUGAGAUGAUCAUUGUUUCUCAUAAUUUUUCAUGUGUGGGACUUGUAUUGAUGGGAAAUUGGAUUGGAAUUGAUUAGGCCUUGUCUACAAUGGUUUCGAAUACAUAUAAUAAGCUAAAUUUCUGUUA